rnacentral:lncRNA from 1 species
AUGGCAAGCUGGAGAGGACAGCCCACCAAUCAUGACAGGAAGGGGGAGGAGUCCAAUCGUGGGCUGAUGAGGAGCUAUGCUGCAACAUUACAGAAGGAGAGAGAGAGACACACACACAAACAGAACAUACACAUACUCCACCACGGGACAUCACAGAAGCGGCCCCGUAAUCAAAAGGUUGCCGGUUCGAAUCCCGAUACGCGAAGGUCCCCACACACUGCUCCCCGGGUGCCUGUCAUGGCUGCCCACUGCUCUCCAAGGGUGAUGGUUAAAAGCAGAGGACACAUUUUGUCUCAAGGAGAGACACUGCUGCUUCACGCCAGGUGGGGUGGAGGCUGUUCACUGGUGUUAGCAGAUCUUGUGGUCAGUCACCUUGUCAGCGACUUAACUUACCUGGCUAUCCAUUGUGAAAAGUGGUCUGUUUUGGAGUGUGGCAAUUAUGGUGCACAUGGCCUUCCAUACAAGACUGUUCUAGCCUCCAUCUUCAUCCAUCUCUUCUUUUGAUGCAACAGUCAGUUAUUUGUAUUAUAUGUUUACUGUAUAUCAUUACUGUUAUAAGUAUAGUGUCAGAAAAUAAGAAGGUGGUCUUUUAUAUUCCAAAUAUUAAAAAAUAUUAAGGUCCUGUAAUAUGUAUUUUUUUUGUCAGUACAAUUUGUGUGAGAAUUACUGAAUAGUGCAUGUGAAACCCCUUUUUGUAUUAAUCUUCUAAAAUGAAAUUUCAGUGCUUUAGCAUAUAAUGGCAUUAUUGAAAUUUUAUUUUUAUGUCAAUGUGAUUUAAGCUGUUUUUGUCUAAACUGGCUCUAGGCCACAAGAGUGAAGCUUAAGUGACACAACCGCAUAAGCGAUGAUUAUUGGCUAAUGUUGAGUUAAAUGUCACAAUAAGCCAACCAGAGGCAGAGGUGGGCGGGUGUUCACUUAACGAGUUCAAAAUUAGCAUUUUUUCAGUGGAAGUAAAGACAUUGUAAGAAUGUAUAUGUUAAAUGUACGUCAUGCCCUGAAAAUAAGUGUUUGUGCACAUCGGUAACAAGCAAUUCAAAUCAAAUGAAGCACCUCUCACAUCUCAAGCAAGCUUCAUCAAAACUAGUUGUUUUCUUUUCCAUCAAAACUAGUGGCCAGCAGCCAAACCCCAGUGCAGAUAAGGAGGAGACCCAGACAUGCCAUUUACAUUUGACUUACUUGAACAUUUUAACUUCCCUGGUGACUGGUACUAACUCAGUUACAUUUUGAAUGAAGUUACUUGUAACUACAGCUAAUGACUUUUUAAAAGACUUGAGUUCUUGUUAUGCACAGUGAAGAAAACCACAUUCUCUGACUCCCUCACAGAUCAGUUCCUGGCCUCAUAACAGCUGCUGGAAUGAUAUUUUUGGACAGCGGACUGUCCUCUACCCAGCAACGACACUUACAUGGGUGAAAAAGAAUGUAAGAAAGUCAAUGUAACCGGGUUUCCUCGGUCAAAUGCAGCAUCUGGCAGUGGUGCUUAAGGAAGCAGCCCCGUAAUCAGAAG